rnacentral:misc_RNA from 1 species
AUAAAAUUUAGUAUUUUUCUUGUAUUCAGAUUGACUCAAGCUUGUGAACAUUUCAUAUUUUUCAAGUUUUUCAGAAUACAUGUACGGGGUAUUUAAAGUGCUAUAUGCCAGCCUUCUUUCUAUCAGCAUCUUCAGAUAUUUCAUAUCAAAGAGAUACUUCAUAUCAAAGAGAUGGUUACAUGGUACAUGUAUGAACAUUAUGAUGCUGUCAUAAAUUUAUUAAAUAAAUUAUAGCUGAAAUUCAUUUCAAUUUGUAUACUCAAUUGUUUAUUGUUGAGUUUAAGAACCAAUGUUUAAUUUGUUCCUGUUAUUAUUCUCAGCCGAAAGUGCUUGAAAUAAAAAUUAGAAAAUUAACCAGUACCAGCUCAAUACUUCAGUGAUAUUGAAUUUUGUUUUAAUAUUUUGCAAAAUGUCAAGCACUUUAAGUGUCCAUAGGACUGCCUAUCCUACCUGUAUCUUCCAGUGCCUUUGUUUGGUUCCACUACACUUGCAUCUUGCGAGAUUUGCAGAGCUUUCUGUCUUGAGAGCGGGUUUGUGUAUUACAAUUUUGUUGAUCUUUUUAUUAAAUCAUGCAGCCUGCU